UGCAGAGGACAAUUGGUACAU
rnacentral:piRNA from 1 species